AUGUAUCUACAGAUGAACAGCCUGAAGAGUGUAAAGAGCUAUGAACUCACUCAGCCAGCCUCUUUGACUGUCCAGCCAGGUCAACCACUGACCAUCUCCUGUAAGGUCUCAUAUUCAGUUAGUAGCUUUUAUACAACCUGCAGGGAAAACACUAGAACAUCAACAGUCACCCUCGAAGCAUCAUUACCCAGCAACACAUUGUUUUUAACAGGACAGAGUCUGCAGACUGAAGACACAGCUGUGUAUUAUUGUGCUCGCCUCCACAGUGAUACAAACCAGCACUAG